rnacentral:rRNA from 1 species
AGUGAACGCUGGCGGCAGGCCUAACACAUGCAAGUCGAGCGGCAGCGGGUCCUUCGGGAUGCCGGCGAGCGGCGGACGGGUGAGGAAUACAUCGGAAUCUGCCCUGUCGUGGGGGAUAACCUAGGGAAACUUAGGCUAAUACCGCAUACGACCUACGGGUGAAAGCGGGGGAUCGCAAGACCUCGCGCGACAGGAUGAGCCGAUGUCCGAUUAGCUAGUUGGCGGGGUAAAGGCCCACCAAGGCGACGAUCGGUAGCUGGUCUGAGAGGAUGAUCAGCCACACUGUGACUGAGACACGGCCCAGACUCCUACGGGAGGCAGCAGUGGGGAAUAUUGGACAAUGGGCGCAAGCCUGAUCCAGCCAUGCCGCGUGGGUGAAGAAGGCCUUCGGGUUGUAAAGCCCUUUUGUCCGGGAAGAAAUCGUCUGGGCUAAUACCCCGGGCGGAUGACGGUACCGGAAGAAUAAGCACCGGCUAACUUCGUG